ensembl:snRNA U4 U4 spliceosomal RNA
AGCUUUGCGCAGCGGCAGUAUCAUAGCCAAUGAGGUUUAUCCGAGGCACAAUUAUUGCUAACUGAAAACUUUUCCCAAAGUAUUUGAACCUUCUGAGAGUUUAGAGACCCUAUCUGAAAACAAAGCUUG